UGCUUUUAAAAAACUGACAUGUGAAAGCAUUUCAAACAGUCAUUUGUUACAUUGUUGUCACAUGACUGACUUACACUAUCAUAUCAGAUAUAAAUUUUGUUUAGAAAUGUCUUGACUGACUCAUUUACAUAAUAUCAAUUAAUAGUCAUGUGACUGUGAUGUGUCCCUCCCUCCAGCUCCUAUUGGCUCAGUAGAAGUGUCAAUCAUCUGCUCCUCCAGUGGGGUGAUGAGGGUGUUCUGCUCCUCUGAGGGGGAUCAUCUUCUCUACAGCUGGACUCUGAAUGGAGAUCCACUGAUGGAUGGAAACAGCAGCAUUGAUCUGGAUGAGGGAAGAGAUGGAGACAUCAGCUGCAGUGUGAAGAACCACGUCAGUCACGCACAGAAGACCAUUAGACUCAAACCCUGUCCUGGGCCAAAGACUGCAGCUGUGACUUCUAGUUUGACCUCUAGUGUGACCUCUAGUGUGACCUCUAAUGUGACCUCUGCAGUAACCAAUAGCUCACAGGCAUCAGAAAAUGUUUUGCUCUAUAUGAUUGCUUUUGGCUGCGUUGCUCUGAUCCCAAUUCUGCUGUUCAUCAUCAUAUGUUACGUUUACAAGAAAAAACAUCUGAAGUCAACACCAGCCGCUGCUGGAGAUACGGAGCUCAUAUACGCUAAUAUACCUAAGAGAAAGGAUGAAAAGAAGACAACAGGUAAGAAACUCAAUAAAGCUCAGUGAUCUACUUUAGGCUACUCUGUAAAACAACACAAGACUCUGUCAGCUUGUGGUUCAUUUCUCUCAGUCAUUGAAUUAGUCAUGUCACUGCCAAGAUCUCAAGGUCAUUCAGUCACUAUUACUAAUUGGAAACAAAAAACAUCUAGAUAAUUUUACGUUGCGAAUUUUUACGUGUUGUUGCUCUUUCAUGACUAAAAGAAAAGAUUAUGUAACAACUAGAUUUCUGUCUUUUAAAAUCAUUUAGUUUAAAAAGUUUGAAAGCUGUUUUAUAGAUUAAGAUAAUGUUUGAAACACUAAGACAGUAAGUGUCUGGUAAAGACUUGCAGGGUUGACUAGUCAAGCUCAACUAUUCAAUGCUAGUGUCACGGAGACGAACCCCGUGAUUCCCUCUGCUGGCCAGCAGAGGGCACCCUCACCUGAAUACUGACACACACGCAUCCACCCACUCAUUUACACUGAUUACACUACAUUACCUUUUAGCCCCGUCCUUGGACUCUGAUCACCGUCACAGCUGCAACCCAUCAGGACUGGUGCUUAUAAGCUGGACUAUCACAUGAGUUCAAUGCGAAGUCUUGAUUUGCUGUGUCUGUCAUUUCUGAGCGUGAUUACCCGGUUUUGUUUUCCUGUUGCUGAUCUUGUCUGUUCUCGUCUACGUACCUCCGCUGCCUACCUACCGACCCUUGCUUGUUUACCGGACAUUGAUUCUCUGCCUGUGACCCUGACAUUCUGCCUGUCCCCUCUUUACAUCUCUGCUCUUCCUGCGUGGUUAAAACUGCUGUUACUGACCAUUGCCUGUAUGACUACGAGUUUCUUAAUAAAGCCUGCACAUGGAUCCCA
ensembl:lncRNA